rnacentral:rRNA from 1 species
AGCAGUCGCCGCGGGAAUACGUAGGGUGCAAGCGUUAAUCGGAAUUACUGGGCGUAAAGCGUGCGCAGGCGGUUAUAUAAGACAGAUGUGAAAUCCCCGGGCUCAACCUGGGAACUGCAUUUGUGACUGUAUAGCUAGAGUACGGCAGAGGGGGAUGUAAUUCCGCGUGUAGCAGUGAAAUGCGUAGAUAUGCGGAGGAACACCGAUGGCGAAGGCAAUCCCCUGGGCCUGUACUGACGCUCAUGCACGAAAGCGUGGGGAGCAAACAGGAUUAGAUACCCCAGUAGUCCCUGUCUCUUAUAC